rnacentral:rRNA from 1 species
UGGGGAAUAUUGGACAAUGGCGAAAGCCUGAUCCAGCCAUGCCGCGUGUGUGAAGAAGGUCUUCGGAUUGUAAAGCACUUUAAGUUGGGAGGAAGGGCAGUAAGCGAAUACCUUGCUGUUUUGACGUUACCGACAGAAUAAGCACCGGCUAACUCUGUGCCAGCAGCCGCGGUAAUACAGAGGGUGCAAGCGUUAAUCGGAAUUACUGGGCGUAAAGCGCGCGUAGGUGGUUCGUUAAGUUGAAUGUGAAAGCCCCGGGCUCAACCUGGGAACUGCAUCCAAAACUGGCGAGCUAGAGUAGGGCAGAGGGUGGUGGAAUUUCCUGUGUAGCGGUGAAAUGCGUAGAUAUAGGAAGGAACACCAGUGGCGAAGGCGACCACCUGGGCUCAUACUGACACUGAGGUGCGAAAGCGUGGGGAGCAAACAGG